CAGCUCCGCGCUCAGGUAUCCGCGGCCCCGCAUUGGAGGCCCCCAGCGCCGCACGCCCCAUGGCCCUGCUGGGGAGGAUCGACUGGCAACAAAUAAUAAGAAACUGGAUUCAUCUCCGUGAUUCUGGCCACCAAAGGAAACAAACCUAAGGUGUUCAGACCUUGACAAUUCUAAAGAGUGAGUAAAUCACGAUCGCCUCUUUGGGUGACAUUUAUGAGCAGAAAGAAAACUUGGUUUCUGAGGUUAUGAUAAAAAUGACCAACGUUGCUACAAUACAGGGACUCUUCGGGAGGAAGAAGAGCUGAUCCCAAACCUGAUUCCUAGUCUUAAUGACGCCAGGAGCAGCGCAAGCACACUCGCUAAUAAUCGUCGCGAACUGCAUUUCAAAGAAACAUCCCUGGAAGAAAAACACCGUCGUUGAAAAAAAGAAUAAAUAGAGACUCCGCCAAAAAUGAUAAUGCGGAGUCCCUGGUGAUGAUGAUGGGCUUAAUGCAGCUGCUGCAAAUCAGCACCUGCGUGCUAGAUAAGGCAGAUAACACCUCCAACAGUUACUCCACCACCCC